AGCAGUGAAGAAGACUCCGUGGUUAAUACCACGGACGAUGACAUUAGCUGCAGAAUAAGCACCGGGCUAACUCUGUGCCAGCAGCCGCGGUAAUACAGAGGGUGCAAGCGUUAAUCGGAAUUACUGGGCGUAAAGCGAGCGUAGGUGGCUUGAUAAGUCAGAUGUGAAAUCCCCGGGCUUAACCUGGGAACUGCAUCUGAUACUGUUAGGCUAGAAUAGGUGAGAGGAAGGUAGAAUUCCAGGUGUAGCGGUGAAAUGCGUAGAGAUCUGGAGGAAUACCGAUGGCGAAGGCAGCCUUCUGGCAUCAUAUUGACACUGAGGUUCGAAAGCGUGGGUAGCAAACAGGAUUAGAUACCCUGGUAGUCCACGCCGUAAACGAUGUCUACUAGUCGUUGGGUCCCUUGAGGACUUAGUGACGCAGCUAACGCAAUAAGUAGACCGCCUGGGGAGUACGGCCGCAAGGUUAAAACUCAAAUGAAUUGACGGGGGCCCGCACAAGCGGUGGAGCAUGUGGUUUAAUUCGAUGCAACGCGAAGAACCUUACCUGGUCUUGACAUAUCUAGAAUCCUGCAGAGAUGCGGGAGUGCCUUCGGGAAUUAGAAUACAGGUGCUGCAUGGCUGUCGUCAGCUCGUGUCGUGAGAUGUUGGGUUAAGUCCCGCAACGAGCGCAACCCUUGUCCUUAGUUACCAGCGGGUUAAGCCGGGAACUCUAAGGAUACUGCCAGUGACAAACUGGAGGAAGGCGGGGACGACGUCAAGUCAUCAUGGCCCUUACGACCAGGGCUACACACGUGCUACAAUGGUAGGUACAGAGGGCAGCUACACAGCGAUGUGAUGCGAAUCUCAAAAAGCCUAUCGUAGUCCAGAUUGGAGUCUGCAACUCGACUCCAUGAAGUAGGAAUCGCUAGUAAUCGCGGAUCAGAAUGCCGCGGUGAAUACGUUCCCGGGCCUUGUACACACCGCCCG
rnacentral:rRNA from 2 species